rnacentral:rRNA from 1 species
UACGGAGGGUGCGAGCGUUGUCCGGAAUCACUGGGCGUAAAGGGCGCGUAGGUGGCGCAGGAAGUCAACGGUGAAAGUUCGGGGCUCAACCCUGAAUCGGCCGUCGAUACUCCUGGGCUCGAGCACUGUAGAGGCAGAUGGAAUUCCGGGUGUAGCGGUGGAAUGCGUAGAGAUCCGGAAGAACACCGGUGGCGAAGGCGGCCUGCUGGGCAGU